GGAACACAAAUUUCAAUCACUUCUUCAUUGAGAUAAAAAACUUAAAGUUAAAAAAAGUUGUAUUUUCUGAAUUUACCCCACCGAUUAUUGAGAUCAAACUGCAAAUUUGCAAGUAUGACCAAACGGUAUGAAUGUGAUCGGGUUGAAUGCAAGAAGAAUUCUUCAACAUUCUUAGCUGCUCACAUAAAGCGUUCGAUCGAAGAAAAUCAUUACGAAACAAGCAAGAGUGAUUGGAACAGAUUGUUCGAUUUGAACAAGCUCGCUUACGAUCAUUCACUUUUGUUAAAUUAAAGUUGACAAAGUUCUGAUUAAACGCAAUCCUUAUGCUAAAUUAAAUUAAAUACUUUUCGAACUGAGUGAUUUUCUACUCAACAAAACAUGUGUCGCUCUAAAACCCAUUAUGAAAUACUCAACUAUAGUACUUGUCUAUACAAACUGAUCUUAAUUAGAUCAUAACAAUUUGUUCAGCUGGCUUUCUUGUCUAAUAAAUUAUCUUUAUAAUCAAUGCAAAUGAUUAAACAUGCAGCUGUAUCAGUUCAAUUUAAAAUAAUUCGCUAUGAAAAUGACUAAUUUGUUGGCU